rnacentral:rRNA from 1 species
AAUAGAUACCCAGGUAGUCCAUGCCGUAAACGAUGAGUGCUAAGUGUUAGGGGGUUUCCGCCCCUUAGUGCUGCAGCUAACGCAUUAAGCACUCCGCCUGGGGAGUACGACCGCAAGGUUGAAACUCAAAGGAAUUGACGGGGGCCCGCACAAGCGGUGGAGCAUGUGGUUUAAUUCGAAGCAACGCGAAGAACCUUACCAGGUCUUGACAUCCCAGUGACCGCUCUAGAGAUAGAGUUUUCCCUUCGGGGACAUUGGUGACAGGUGGUGCAUGGUUGUCGUCAGCUCGUGUCGUGAGAUGUUGGGUUAAGUCCCGCAACGAGCGCAACCCUUGAUCUUAGUUGCCAUCAUUUAGUUGGGCACUCUAAGGUGACUGCCGGUGACAAACCGGAGGAAGGUGGGGAUGACGUCAAAUCAUCAUGCCCCUUAUGACCUGGGCUACACACGUGCUACAAUGGACGGUACAAAGAGUCGCUAACUCGCGAGAGUACGCUAAUCUCAUAAAACCGUUCUCAGUUCGGAUUGUAGGCUGCAAC